rnacentral:rRNA from 1 species
UACGUGAGGGCGCGAGCGUUUGUCCGGAAUUAUUGGGCGUAAAGAGCUCGUAGGCGGCCUGUCGCGUCAAUUGUGAAAGCCCGGGCUUAACCCCGGGUCUGCAGUCGAUACGGGCAGGCUAGAGUGUGGUAGGGGAGAUCGGAAUUCCUGGUGUAGCGGUGAAAUGCGCAGAUAUCAGGAGGAACACCGGUGGCGAAGGCGGAUCUCUGGGCCAUUACUGACGCUGAGGAGCGAAAGCCAGGGAGCGAACGGG